AUUGAACGCUAGCGGGAUGCUUAACACAUGCAAGUCGAACGAGUGGCGGACGGGUGAGUAAUAUAUCGGAACGUGCCCAGUAGCGGGGGAUAACUACUGGAAAGGGUGGCUAAUACCGCAUACCAUCGGAUGGGCCGAUAUCGGAUUAGCUAGUUGGUGGGGUAAAGGCUCACCUAGGCGACGAUCCGUAGCUGGUUUGAGAGGAUGACCAGCCACACUGGGACUGAGACACGGCCCAGACUCCUACGGGAGGCAGCAGUGGGGAAUUUUGGACAAUGGGCGAAACCCUGAUCCAGCCAUCCCGCGUGUAUGAGAAGGCCUUCGGGUUGUAAAGUACUUUUAGCAGGGAAGCGUUAUCUGCAGAAUAAGCACCGGCUAACUACGUGCCAGCAGCCGCGGUAAUUC
rnacentral:rRNA from 1 species